rfam:Fomitiporia mediterranea MF3/22 unplaced genomic scaffold FOMMEscaffold_7, whole genome shotgun sequence.
UGCCCCGUGGCUCAGUUGGCUAGAGCGUGUGACUGUUAUUUGCAUAUGUAUCGUGUGAUAGGCAAUCACAAGGUCGAGAGUUCAAGCCUCUCCGGGGCAG